rnacentral:rRNA from 1 species
AAAACUUACCAGGUCAAGACAUGGGCGUGAUUGACAGGCUAAUGACUUUUCUCGAUUCCAUGGAUGGUGGUGCAUGGUCGCACUUAGUUGGUGCAGUGAUUUGUCAGGUUUAUUCCGGUAACGAACGAGACCUCGGCCUUGUAAAUAGCUAUGCUGCUUACAGGGACAUUGGCGGCUACGCCAAGGAAGCUCGAGGCAAUUGCAGAUCUGGAAUGCCCUUAGAUGUCCUGGGUCGCACGCGUGCUACAAUGACGCCACGAACGAGCUUGCGUGAUGAAAGUUACGCAUAAUCAGCAGUCGGCGUCGUAAGGGAUAGUCUCUUGUAACUGUGGGACUCCAACUAGGAAUGUCUCGUAAGCACAAGUCAACAUCUUGUGUUGAUUACGUCCCUGCUCUUUGUACACACCGCCCGUCGCUCCUACCGAUCGAGUGUUUAGGUGAAUUUGAUGGACGUAAGGAAGUCAAAUAAACCUGAGCACUAGAGAAGAGAAGUCGAUAUC